AUGCAGCAAUAAAGCCAAACUGUAAUCAUCUUUGCUGUGUAUUGUUCUGGGGUCAGCAUCCUUGGGGACACAGUGGUACAGCAGUUGAUGGAAAGAAGCUGGAGAGGAAUACAAAAGUGAACCCAGCCAAGGCAAGAUAAGCUUCUCUUCCAGCCAUGCUGGCAGAUUUCUUAUGCCUUCUUUCCUACAUUUCUUAAGUGAUUCAAGCACAGACUGAGUUUAUUCAGAUUCCAAGAUGGCAAGGUGCUUGUUCAAAAGAUGUUUUAUUGUGUGAAGCCAGAGGAAACAUGAGGAACAAUCAAGCACCAGAGGAACAUUAAGAAGAUGUGUCACUGACACAGUAUGUCAAUGAGAAGUGAAUCCAGAUUCUGUUUUUAAGGACAUUAUGUUCCAAGGCACGCACAUAAACCUGACUAAAAUGCCUUGCUUGUUGGAUCUGAAUCUAGAGUUUAGUCCCGGCUACUACUGAAAUCCAGGUCAGAUUUUUCUUUUUAUUUGCACUUGUGUUAACAGAUGAAAGGAGCUGACACAUCUGUCUAGCGCCAGCAUUGUAUCUAAUGUUGUCUAAAGGAGCUCUCCUGCCUCAAGGAACUAGCAGCCCAUAGGUGUGAUCUGAUAAGAUGCAGAACACCAUAUGAGAGAUGCUUCCACUAACUUUGGUGGGGAAAACAGCUGCACGUUUGGCUACAUGUUUGCUGGGAAUGGAAGUGACACAGCCACACAGCAGUGCCCACAGUCUAAAACCUAUUAUGUGAUGAAUUACCUGGAAUCAGCAGUAAAGGAAGUACCCAAGGAAGUAACAUGCAAAAGACUAUGCUGAGAAAACACAGAUCCCUGACUUGAAAAGAAUUAUAAAAUGAGGAAGCUCAGAAUUACAGUUCCUGAAGCAAAUGAAAUUGUAUUCUCUUGUAUCUAUUCUUAACAAUAGAACCUUUCAAUAUGUGAUGAUAUGAUACAGAUAAGAUUGUCAAACUCUCCAUCAUUUACUA